AGGGAUAAAACAUUUAACUAGAAUAUAAAUUGAAUGCAUAACAUACAAUAAAACUAAUCUUGCUUAUAAAGAGGGACCAUUAGUCCCGUUUUGUUUUCAUUCCACAAACAACAGACAGACUUAAGGUCUGCCUUUACUCCCCUCUCUCUCAAACCCUUGCACAUUCAAAACAAUACACACACACAAAACAAAAAGGAAAAGAAACACAGAGAAGCCAAACAUCCAAUUUUCUCCUCCUCACCCACUCGACACCACCCUCCUCUGAUCUCGGUUAUGUUUUCAAACAACACCCACAGCCAAACAACCCCUCUCCCUCUCCGGUGCUUAUUCCGGCAAUGAACCGGCUCCGAUCGGAGCUCAGAUGAGCCACACCCACACCGGUAAACCCUCACACCCACCCCCCUGUUCUCACUCCUUCUCUGACUCAGAUUCGACGACCGGCGGAGCCGGCGUCGAUGUUUUCCGACGACGGAAUUUAGUGGCAGCGGACGACAACAGCACCACCACAGGCGGCGGCUGUGGUGGUUGACUUGACUGUGGUGGUGGCGCGUGAUGGUGAGUGACGGUUGAAGGAGACAGAGAGAGAGAGAGAGAGAGAGAGAGAGCCGGAGAAGGAGCAGCACCGCCAUGAGCGGCGGUGGCAGUGGAGUGCGGCGGCGGUUGCAUCUCAGACCGGUGGUCCUUGACUCGGACCGGCGGUCCUUGUCUCGGUCCGACGAAUAUCCCGGUAAUCACCUUCCAUUCUCCUUACUUCUUGCAAACUGAAGGUGAUGAUGAUGAUUUUGUUUAUGUUGGCUACUGUUGAUGAUAGAGACGAUGUUCAUAAGCGGCUAAUGAUUUUUUUUUCGGAUUCACUACGGUUCAAGCACAGGUCCCGGUCCCGGUCAGAUUCUGGAUGGUGGUUCGGUGCGGCUCGGGUUCGGUGUUCGGGCUAAUGUUGGCUCAACUCGGUUUGACUCGGUCAAACCGAGUCAACUCAGUCGACAGUUGGGUUCGAGUCAGUCGGCACGGGUCGGGUGUGAAGCGGUUUGGGUUGACUCGGUCAAACCAAGUUGCUUUUCAAAGCCAAGGCACUGUUGGAAUAGGAAAACCAUGAAGAGUCGAGUACUUAGUGGGCGUUCAAUUUCUAGAAGUCUUAGCUUAUUUUGCUUCCGUUGUGCAAUGAAGAUACCAGUCCAGUCACGCCAAUGCUCUGAUAAUUUCGAGGUGUGACAGAUUGGUAUCAGAGCUAUAGGUUACAGCGAAUUAGGUUUCUGUUGUGAUGCCUAGGCUCUAACCUCACCUUUCCCCCUGGGGACUUAGAUCAUUGAGACGUUGAACACAUAUAGAACGCCUAGUACUCGGAUAUGGUCUCCAACCGUUGUCGAAAAACAAACAGUCAAAAUUUUGUCUCCAAACAAUACGCUAAAGUGGUGAUUUAUACACGGUGCAUAAAACAAUUACAUACAGUACACAACACUCUGAGAGUUUAGGAAACAUGCAUUUAAGACCUUCGGAAAAGGGAAUUCAGCCGGGUGGCUGGAUCUGGUCGGGAGACUAGGAGAUUCAGUUUGAGAGGCUGGGAAGGUAGUCUGAGAGACUAGGAGAUUCAGUCUGAGAGGCUGGGAGGAUAGUCUAGUGGGACUAGGAGAUUCAGUCUGAGAGGCUGGGAGGAUAGUCUAGUGGGACUAGGAGAUUCAGUCUGAGAGGCUGGGAGGAUAGUCUAGUGGGACUAGGAAGUUCAGUCUGAGAGGCUGGGAGGAUAGACUAGUGGGACUAGGGGAAUUACUUGAUUGCUUAUUGGUUACUAACAUGCUUAUUUGAUUAUAUGAAUGAUUAUUUGUGCAUGGUCAUCACGUAGGAACCGCGAAUAUUAACUCGGGUACGCACUAUUAUCAAUAUUGUCUAUGAUAUUUUAACUUCCCGAGCAGGCAACCUACGCAUAACAAAACGCUAGCGCACGAGAAUACAUGGAACUCAAUUUUUACGUCAACGGAUGUCAGGGUACAUCACCUUCUACGUGGCACACGAUGCUAGUACACAGGUAUACGUGAAACUUAAGCUUACAUCAACGAAGGUUGAAGUACGUCACAUAUGACUAUCGAGGCGAGGCCUUUGAAAAGACGCGAUGGCGCAAUUUAACGAUGACGCUAGAUUCCUGUCAACAGGAGAACUAACGGCCAGGAAACGGCAACUUGUCACGCGAUCCCGCAACGACACGAAUCACUCCAAGGGAAAGACGUAUGUCUCCACAUCCCCUAUUUCGGUUAACGAUGAAUACGAUAUGUUCGACAUUCCAUGGUAAUGUCACCUAACAAUUGGCCGUCACACGAAACCCCAGGUAAAGUCCUCAAAUUUCUUUUGUUGAAAUUUCGACUUUCACAUUUACUGAGUAGAUUUUCGUAUCUCUACUCCUCUUAAUGGUCAUUGUGUCAUGAUCAUUUCUUUCAGUAAAGCGAACACUAAUUGCUUCAUUUCUUGGAAAAUUUAUAUGUUACACAUGUAUCGUUUGUUAGGCAUGUGGUUUCAUUUCAAAUAAGCGUUUCAUUAAAGUUCAAAUAUUGUAUUCGCUAAAACUAAUUAUCGAUUUGUGAUUCGAAUGACCCACGUUAUUGUAAAUGUUGGCUCCUUUGUUAUCGAGUCAACACAUUUCCUUGAAAUUUCUUGACUUUUCGAGUUACAUACAUGGUUUUCAUUGCGACCAUGCCAAAAGUUUUAUUGUUGAUACAUGUACUUGUUGUCGGCUUGCGCCGAAACCAAUUUCGAUUGUUUGAACUUCUUCAUUACACACAUUUCAUUCAAGAUACCAUAUGAUGUAUAUACCAUAUGAUGUAUAGAAGACAUCAUAUUCAAAUUCGUUUUAACAAGUGUUUCGUUUGCUCCGAGUCGAAAUAAACUUGUUUGGCAUUCGACUCUGUUAAAUUGUUUGUUGAUUUCGACACCUUGUGGUGGUGUUUCCACUUAAUUGAAGCUUGCGCUAAACUCGUUUCGGCAUCUCAUGCACGGAUUUAAAUAUUUAUUUAUUGGUUGCUUUAAAUCCACUUCGAUUUAUUAUAUCAAAGCUGUCUUGACACAAUAGUGUGUUAAGACAAUGGUACACCAAUUCAUUUUUAUAUUCCUGUGUACCUCCUAACGGUCCUUUCAACGUCGAUCGAAUGUUUUGCGAUAUUCAUUGCUUCUUCAUCUUCGAUCGAGAACAUUAUUUCUUUGAUGUUUCAUUUUCAAUUGAAAAUUCUAUGAUGUCAUUUGAAACAAACUUUCAAAUUCCCAUUACUGCGCAUUCAUUUGACUUCAAACACGGUGAAAUUGUUUGAUCACCGCUAUUAUUGGAUUGUUUAAAUCAUCACGACACCUUGUGGUGUCAGUACAAACUUGUAGCUUGGGCUAAUCAUGAUCGAUCGUUUCAUGCAAAACACAGGUGAUACUUGUUCGAUCACCGGUAUUAUUGAAUUAUUUCAUUCAUUACGACACCUUGAGGCGUCAGUAUAACUUGCAGCUUGUGCUGAUCACGAUCGAGCGUUUCAUGCAAACUAUUAUAUUUGAGAUUGUUGUUUCUAAGUUCAUCCAGUGGAUGUUAUUGCUUCUAGAACUCAUUUACUUGUUGUGAACGUUCAUAUGGAAUUCGACUGGUCGAAAUUCCUGUCCAUUGUUGGAUCCCUGUUAACUUAGUCACAUUAGUGACUAUACCUAUACGUCUUGCUUCCUUUGACAUCAAUUAUGAGGAGAUGACAUAGUCAAAAAUUUCGAGGACGAAAUUUCUGUAACAGGGGGAGAAUGUGACAACUGGUAAUUUACGCCCUUAAUUUCGUGAUUAACAGGUGAUUAACGCGAUAAUAAAUAGUAAUUACGACGCUAAUUAACUAAAAUUAAGCCUUUGGAGUGCCUAGGAACGUUUAUGCGACAUUUCAGUGCGCGUAUGACGAUCCGCGAAGAAACUACUGAAAAUUUAACGGUAAUAAACUGGAAACCGUACGAAGUACUGACAACGCCGACAAAUAUGGAUGUUACAAGAAUAUUUUAUGCUUAUGGAGUUUGGGUCGCGAUAUCGGGUCUCGUAGUAAUUACGGGCCACUUACGCAUGAGAUGGGCUCGUGGGCCCUGGGCCCAAGCCCAAAACCCACAAACCUAAACCCGCACAUAACAUACCAGGUCUCUAUGCGAUACUUAUAAAAUCUUAUGAAAUAUUUACAAGAGAUUCUCAAAAUCUCUACAAGAUACUCAAAAUCUUUACAAUAUCUUUAUAAAUCUCUACAAGAGAUUUUAUGUCAAGGGAUAAAACAUUUAACUAGAAUAUAAAUUGAAUGCAUAACAUACAAUAAAACUAAUCUUGCUUAUAAAGAGGGACCAUUAGUCCCGUUUUGUUUUCAUUCCACAAACAACAGACAGACUUAAGGUCUGCCUUUACUCCCCUCUCUCUCAAACCCUUGCACAUUCAAAACAAAACACACACACAAAACAAAAAGGAAAAGAAACACAGAGAAGCCAAACAUCCAAUUUUCUCCUCCUCACCCACUCGACACCACCCUCCUCUGAUCUCGGUUAUGUUUUCAAACAACACCCACAGCCAAACAACCCCUCUCCCUCUCCGGUGCUUAUUCCGGCAAUGAACCGGCUCCGAUCGGAGCUCAGGUGAGCCACACCCACACCGGUAAACCCUCACACCCACCCCCUGUUCUCACUCCUUCUCUGACUCAGAUUCGACGACCGACGGAGUCGGCGUCGAUGUUUUCCGACGACGGAAUUUAGUGGCAGCGGACGACAACAGCACCACCACAGGCGGCGGCUGUGGUGGUUGACUUGACUGUGGUGGUGGCGCGUGAUGGUGAGUGACGGUUGAAGGAGACAGAGAGAGAGAGAGAGAGAGAGAGAGAGAGCCGGAGAAGGAGCAGCACCGCCAUGAGCGGCGGUGGCAGUGGAGUGCGGCGGCGGUUGCAUCUCGGACCGGUGGUCCUUGACUCGGACCGGAGGUCCUUGUCUCGGUCCGACGAAUAUCCCGGUAAUCACCUUCCAUUCUCCUUACUUCUUGCAAACUGAAGGUGAUGAUGAUGAUUUUGUUUAUGUUGACUACUGUUGAUGAUAGAGACGAUGUUCAUAAGCGGCUAAUGAUUUUUUUUUUCGGAUUCACUAUGGUUCAAGCACAGGUCCCGGUUAGAUUCUGGAUGGUGGUUCGGUGCGGCUCGGGUUCGGUGUUCGGGCUAAUGUUGGCUCAACUCGGUUUGACUCGGUCAAACCGAGUCAACUCAGUCGACAGUUGGGUUCGAGUCAGUCGGCACGGGUCGGGUGUGAAGCGGUUUGGGUUGACUCGGUCAAACCAAGUUAACUCGGUGAGUCGACUCGGUCAACUCAACUUUUCGACACGAAGAAUGGUUGCUUUUCAAAGCCAAGGCACGGUUGGAAUAGGAAAACCAUGAAGAGUCGAGUACUUAGUGGGCGUUCAAUUUCUAGAAGUCUUAGCUUAUUUUGCUUCCGCUGUGCAAUGAAGAUACCAGUCCAGUCACGCCAAUGCUCUGAUAAUUUCGGGGUGUGACACCAAGUCCGCCUAUGUGUAUCUUGAUCAAUCCUAUGCAUCAUCUCCUGAAACACAUGUGAAAAUAGGUACGUCAGCAUAAAAAUGCCGGCAAGUACAUAGGUUUUAUUGAUUUAGGAUUCAUGACUUAUAAGUUUAGAAAAAGUUGUUUAACAAAAAGUCAGUCAUGAUCCUUGUAAAAUGUUUUGUUUUAUAAAUCAUUUGAAAAGCGAUGAUACAUAUGUAUAUUUAAAAUAAUAAUGUAAGGUUAAAUGAAUAACCAAGUAAAAUGAGUUUGUAUAAAACAAACUGUUUUGU